rnacentral:rRNA from 1 species
CCUGACUGCUAUUGGGGUAAGGCUAAGCCAUGGGAGCCGAACGCCCUAUCACUAUAGGGCGUGACGCACGGCUGAGUAACACGUAGCUAACCUACCCUCGGGACUGGGAUAACUCCGGGAAACUGGAGCUAAACCCGGAUAGGUGAGGAGUCCUGGAAUGGUUCCUCACUUAAAGAGAUCUUAGGGGUUGCUGCCUAAGAUCUGCCCGAGGAUGGGGCUACGGCCCAUCAUGGUAGUUGGCGGGGUAAUGGCCCGCCAAGCCUACGACGGGUAGGGGCCCUGGGAGGGGGAGCCCCCAGAUGGACCCUGAGACAAGGGUCCAGGCCCUACGGGGCGCACCAGGCGCGAAACCUCUGCAAUGCGGGAAACCGUGACAGGGUUACCCCAAGUGCUCCCGUUAAGGGAGCUUUUCCUCGCUGUAAGGGGGCGAGGGAAUAAGCGGGGGGCAAGACUGGUGUCAGCCGCCGCGGUAAUACCAGCCCCGCGAGUGGUCAGGACGAUUACUGGGCCUAAAGCGCCCGUAGCCGGUCUAGCAAGUCCUCUCUGAAAGCUCCGGGCCUAACCCGGAGAGCGGAGAGGAUACUGCUAGGCUAGGGGGCGGGAAAGGCCGGGGGUACUCCUAGGGUAGGGGCGAAAUCCGAUAAUCCUAGGAGGACCACCAGUGGCGAAGGCGCCCGGCUGGAACGCGCCCGACGGUGAGGGGCGAAAGCUGGGGGAGCGAACCGGAUUAGAUACCCGGGUAGUCCCAGCUGUAAACGAUGCAGGCUAGGUGUUAGAUGGGCGUUAGUGCCCAU